rnacentral:tRNA from 1 species
UCUAAUAUGGCAGAUAAGUGCGGUAGAUUUAAGCUCUACAUAUAAAAUUUCAAAUUUUUAUUAGAA